rnacentral:rRNA from 1 species
CAAGGCUUGACAUACACCGGAAAACCCCAGAGAUAGGGCCCCCCUUGUGGUCGGUGUACAGGUGGUGCAUGGCUGUCGUCAGCUCGUGUCGUGAGAUGUUGGGUUAAGUCCCGCAACGAGCGCAACCCUUGUCCCGUGUUGCCAGCAGGCCCUUGUGGUGCUGGGGACUCACGGGAGACCGCCGGGGUCAACUCGGAGGAAGGUGGGGACGACGUCAAGUCAUCAUGCCCCUUAUGUCUUGGGCUGCACACGUGCUACAAUGGCCGGUACAAUGAGCUGCGAUACCGCGAGGUGGAGCGAAUCCCAAAAAGCCGGUCUCAGUUCGGAUUGGGGUCUGCAACUCGACCCCAUGAAGUCGGAGUCGCUAGUAAUCGCAGAUCAGCAUGCUGCGGGAAUACGUCCCGACGGA